rnacentral:tRNA from 1 species
GCGAGCGUAGCACAAUGGAUAGUGUAGAAGCCUCCGAAGCUUUUGAUCUGAGUUCGAUUCUCAGCGCUCGCA